GGAGAGACAGUAAAUCCAGCAGGAAGCCUCUCUGGGAAGGAGAAUCAGAUGUUACCCACUGACUGGGCAGACUCCCAGUUACCACCUUGUAGUAUCUGUGAUGGCAUAAUGGGAGGCCUUGAGUGCAACUUGGUAGAGGGAAGUCAGGAGACUUGGUCACAGGCCACCUCUGCCUUCGCAGCUGUUUGACAGCAGGCAGGUUACCUCACUUCUCAGUGUAGAUAUCUCCUCUAUGAAAUGGAAGGAAUAAUACCAACCUCACAGAUUUCUUAUGAAGAUCAAACGAGAUAAUGCAUAUUGACUCCAUUCAACCAGUGUAGCUGCUCUUAUGCAAGUUCCAAUGGGAGCUUGGAAGAAGCCGUUGUCAGAGGUCAUAGAGAGGCUCAAAGGCUUCAGGGAUUCUAUCAGCCUUUCUUCUCCUGGGUGCAGUGAAGGAGGCAAGACUGUUGUAGAACUCCCAGAAGAAUGUGGUUCUGCAAACCAACUCUGACUCUUGGUGUUCCUGAAGCCAUGGUGCCACUCAUGGAGCCUGAGUCUUGAUUCCUACAGCUACAGUGGAUCUAUUGUGUACUUCUGUAGACUUGAUUGUGGAUUUUUAGUCUCCUCCUGGUAAAGGAGAGAUAAGGAUGGCAGUUGACCUAUUUCCUGAAGUCUCUGUGAACUUCCUGACAAUUUUCUCUUCCCUAGUCUUGGUCCCCUGUAACAAUCAGCCAUGGACUCUGGACAUGGAAUCCUACAUCCAGCUGGGAGCAAGCUUACCUCUCCACUGAUUGCCUUAUUGCUUCUGGGCUGGUUCCUAUAUAAUGCCACCCACGUCUCACUCUAGAAUCUCAGAGAAACUUCAUCCUUUACUGACAGUAAAUAUUUUCUGGAAAAUACAUGCCAAGACCAUUGCUUUUAUUGAGCUUCUUAAAUUCCUAAACGUAUGGCCUGAGGCAAAAUGGGACUACAGUUUUCUGAGUUGGCAGAACGGCUAGUGAGCAAGAGACAAUGGCUUAUGUGAGGGACUCAGGAUGGGGUUUGGAGGAACUGUCCUAUAUGAGAGUUUAAACCUGGGGUAAGUGUCUAAAGCAGAGUCUAAAUGAUAGCAACCUCUGUUAUGGUUAUGGCAUCAGUUGGUGCCAGGUAAGAGAUAUUCCAAGGUCUGAGUAGACAAGGGUAAAGGAGGGUUGGCUACAUGUGGCCAGGCUGCAGAAGGCUCAUUUAUGGGAGCAGGAUCCAGGCCCAGGGAGGUUGGAUGGCUGCAAAGAGAUGGAAAACCAGAACCUCAGUCACUAGCUAAAGUUCAGAGCACAGUCAGGCAUUCGACGACAUCUUUAACAUAUUUCAUAGCCUCAGGCAAGUGUGUGCUUGAUGCUGAAAGUGGCCUGAGCACCAGCCUAUAUUUUUUCUCCAAACACCUUCUCCUGGUGAUUUGUCUGCUUUGCCUUCCACUCAUGACCAUGACUCAGUUACUGCUUCUUCUAAACUAUUUAAACACUGUAACUGCCUUCAGCCUUGCCCAAUACUACCUUUGACCUGACUCUACCUUUUGCUUUUUAUCUCUGGAUACAAUGCUUAUCCUAGGGAUGUUUCACGUAUCCAAAAACCAUUAUUUUACCCUAUGAUAAAAUAUUACACCCUAUGAUAAAAUGCCUUAUUUUACCUAGUAUGGUGCUCUUCAGCCUUUCCUGUCUCACUGACCGGCACCACCAACCUCUAUUUUUCCAAGCUAAAAAUCUGAAAUUUAUCAUAAACUUCCUUCACCUCUCCAUCUACCAUGUGCAUAUUUCACUACAGUGACUAUCCCAUCUCUAUUCUGCCAUGUGGUAAACAUCACCAGUAUUUACCAAUAUCCAAUUCUUUUCUCUCUGGGCAUAGAAGAGACAUACUUCCCACCUCAUUUUCAGUUAAGUGCAGCCAUAUCACUAGUAUGGACCAAUGAAACAUGAAUAAAACUUUGCAUCUUAUUUCUGGGCUAAGGUAGUAAAAGAAACUUUCUCAGUCCUCUUUACCUGAAACAUCCCUCUUCUCCUAUUGUGUUGAAUGCAGAGGUUUUAUGUUGAGAUGGUAGUGUCACCAAGUCAAAGAAGCCUGGCUAACUGCAUGACUGAGAAAUAAGCUUUUGUGAUAAACCACUGAGAUAUGGAGAUCAUUUGUUACCAUAAUAUAAUCUAUCAUAUCCUGACUAAUACAAUGAGUGAGGCCUGCUGAUUUACCACUUCAUAUGCCCCUCCAGUCCCUUCACUGCUCUAGCUCAGGACCUCAAUAUCUCCUACUAGAACUAUUGGAAAAGCUUUAAAAAUGUCUUGUCUCCAAGUUGUCAUCCCUCAGACUCAUCCUCCAAACCGACAUCAGAGUGGUUUUUGUGUAACUCAAAUCCAGCCAUGUAUUUGGGCUACACUGUUUCAUUGGCUCCCCAUCACUGACAUGAUGAAUAGGCUGGUGACAUGACAGGUAUUCUUCCUAGCCAGCCUCCUCUCCCAUGUCUCUUCUCCCUACAUUUUACAACCAGCAACACUUAAGUGUUUGUAAUUUCCAGAAUAAGCCAUGUUUCUUUGCCUUCACUUAUGCCAUUCCAUUUAUCCAAAACAUCUUUAUACAGCCUUCAUCUUCUUCUUUGCCUGGAUAACUCCUGAUUCUUCAAGAAUAGUUUCUAAUGUCACCUUUCUGCAAAGGGCUGGAGGAUGAUUCAGGAGCACUGAGACAUGUACUUUUCCUUAUAACAUGUUUCAGGAUUGUGGAAUCAGGAACUCAUACUCUUUCUCAACAAUCUCUAGGGCCUGUGAGGUCCUUGCAUUUGAUCUCCAUGGCUGACAGUCUAUAUUUUUUGUCAUUCUUAUACAUCAUAGCAUCCUAAUAUUAGUUAAACUUUGAAAUUAGAACAGUCCAAAUGUUUGCAUGAACAUUACCUCUCUGCAAUAACACACAUUACUUUUAUAAAUAAAAUAUAUAUUAUACCAUGUUUUAUC